rnacentral:rRNA from 1 species
UACAGAGAGUGCGAACGUUGAUCGGAAUUACUGGGCUUAAAGCGCACGUAGGCGGUGUCGUAAGUGUCAGGUGAAAUCCCACGGCUCACCCGUGGAACUGCCUGGCAUACUGCGAUGCUCGAGUGUGGUAGGGGAGAGCGGAACUCCUGGUGGAGCGGUGAAAUGCGUAGAUAUCAGGAGGAACACCGGUGGCGAAGGCGGCUCUCUGGUCCACAACUGACGCUGAGGUGCGAAAGCUAGGGGAGCAAACGGG